CGCUCCGUCAUCUGGAUCCUGCUGUUCAUCUGUCUUUCCUUUCCUUGUCAACAUGCUUAUUUUCUUUCUUUUUGGUGUGGGCCCCAACUCCUGACACCACUUGUGAGAGGCGACCCGUGAGCGGCUGGAUGAUGUUGAACAAAGUUGACGAGAUGGUCAGGUUUCCCCAGAUUCACAUUUUUUUUAUUCACUCCAAUGAUGACAGUAACAGACAAGUAGCUUAGUACCAUAGGUUCGAUCAGUCCACCAGUCAGAUGUAAAAUGGUGCCUUUUAUACUGUGCUCCCAAUCACCUACACUAGACUCUUCCACUACAGAGGUAAACUUAAAAUAUUGUCCAAUGGCUACUUUACCAAGUGACACUUUCCCCUUUACCUUUAGCUUCUAAGCUCCACUACUUCUCUGUUACUGAUUUACUUCAGCCAAUACCUAUAAAAUAUAUUUACAAUAAAUAAGAAAAAACAUUAACACUUUAAGAAUUCCCCCCCUUUCCUAUCCGGCCACUUGGUCUCUCCCGGAACCUUUAUCACCGUGCCCAUGCACCCGGGGGAAUCUUUUGGACGCGCACCCUGGAGCAGACACAGGACCAGACAGGCGGAGCCGAGUGCCGAGUGCCGCCCCUGGCCGAAGGCAUGCAAUCACCUAAUAAAUAACUUCAAUAAAAUAUACAAUAAAUAGAGCAAGUUCAAUAUCUGUAUCUUCAAUUAAUUAUCUUCAAUAAACUGUGCAAAUACGCAAUGUGCAAAUUGUACUGUGCAAGCCUUGGUAAAUAAAGUGCUAUCGUGACUAAA